AGUGCUGCAACAGAGCGCGGUGCAGGUGCAGGCAGAUGUCCGCCUGCAGGCACUCAGGGAAGCCUUUCAGCACCUGCGGGUGUGGGGGACCACAUCCACCAGGCAGCGGAAGCUGGAGGCUGCAAACCCCAUUGGCAGGGAAAGGGUCGGUCACUGAGGAGGCCCCUCCUGCAGUGGCUAAGGAAGGACCCGCGUGAAGGUCAAAGGAAGGGUGGAGAGAAGAGGCCUGGACAGCGACCAGAGCUAUUUGGCAGAGGGAAGCUCUGGUGUCACCCCCACCAAUACCCGCUCCUGCUCGAGAUACUCUGGUUCCAAGUCCGACCUGACCCACCCUCCUCUCAGGUGCUGGAGUGUGUGUGCCUGGGCGGCCUGGGCCUCUGUCUGUCACCUCUAGGAGAUCCUCCGUGGGCAAGGCCGACUUGUCUAUGUUCUGCAGCUUCCUCAGCAUGCGCUUCACGUCCUGGUUCAGGAAAUGGUCUGUCCUAAACAUGCGGGCCCGGGUGCUGAAGUAUAACAUAAACUGAGACCUGUCCGCCUCCUUCUGCAGCUGGAAAGAAGGCCUUCACAUUGCUCAUGGCAGGUUGGGGGGACGCAGUAUGGGUCCCAUGCCGACUUCUGAGAUCACAGCCCCAAAGCCCACUUUAAAAGUCCAGAGUCAUUGAAGAUUUGCUAAAAGGGAUGGGGUGCCUGUGUCCCUAAAAGGGGGAGGUAAAGUUGGCAAAAGCAAAGAAUCCAGAAAGUCUUGUGUAGAGAAAAGUCAAGGUCAUUGAGAGCUCUGGAACUCACAGCCCACCUUGACAUAUGUUUUGGGGUGUCCUUCUUUCCAUACACUCUGGACAUAGGGCAGGAACUAUGAUCCCCAACCUCCAGGAUCCCUAAGAAGAGCAAGGAGGGGAAGGGAGGGCCUUGGGGGGUGGGGAAUGGUACCACACCAUGUUCUUUUGAUUCUGCUUGGUGAUGUUGGUGACGUAGUUCCAAGUGGCUUCCAUAAACUCAUUCAACACGACCUGGGCUGUUUGCUCAUAAAACUGCAGGAACAACUUAGCCUGAGCCUCGCUGUAGAAAUCAUCUGCAAGGGAGGGAGAACGUGUGGGCCUGGAGGAAGGGGCUGCCCCUCCACAGUCCUCGUAUUUGGUCCUAUGCUUCUUCAGGUCCCAGCCGUACUUAAGCUUGUCUCUCCCACAGUCCUGAGCCAUGGCAAGAGUUGCCGGUGAGAGAGGAGCACAAGUAGCAAGGCCCAGGGCAAGUUCAUCUUGUUCCCAUGACCAAGAGAACAGUAGAGCUGGCACAGGCAAUGGCCAAUCAUGAGUCAGAUCCAUAUUUGUGACAUCAGGGGCCAAAGGGUCUUCCAUAGAAUGUUAGAACUAGAAAGAUUGCCACCCAGCCUGCUACGCACACUCCAGUGAAGUCUGCUUGGCAGGCCAAGAGGCCUUGGAAGCACUCAUGAUGCAGGGAGUUUCAAGGAAACUCAACCUCCUGGAACCAGGCAUUCACAUAACCCAUAUACUCAUACCCUAUCCCUGUGUUAGUCUGAUGUAUGGAUCCAUGUGCUCU